rnacentral:tRNA from 1 species
GACACUAUGGCCGAGUGGUUAAGGCGACAGAUUCGAAUUUGCCCGACCAUCUGUUUCCCUCUGGGAGCGCAGGUUCAAAUCCUGCUGGUGUCG